GGAGCGGUGACCGAGAGGCCGAAGGUGCUUCCCUGCUAAGGAAGUGUACCUCUAAAGGGUACCGAGGGUUCGAAUCCCUCCUGCUCCGC
rnacentral:tRNA from 1 species